AUUGGGAUGGUUGAGUUUCUCGCCUCUCCAUUCUGCCUGUAUUCUACCCUUGUUUGCCAUAUACUAUUAUUUCCUCGGCAGGCUUGCUUGCCGAGUGAAACCAAUUAUAACCUAUUUAAUUUUCAAUCAGCGUCUGGAAAAAAUUAAUAAUUACAACUUUCAACAACGGAUCUCUUGGUUCUGGCAUCGAUGAAGAACGCAGCGAAAUGCGAUAAGUAGUGUGAAUUGCAGAAUUCAGUGAAUCAUCGAAUCUUUGAACGCACAUUGCGCCCCUUGGUAUUCCAUGGGGCAUGCCUGUUCGAGCGUCAUUUGUACCUUCAAGCUUUGCUUGGUGUUGGGUGUUUGUCCUGAGGGACUCGCCUUAAAGUAAUUGGCAGCCAGUGUUUGGUUUUGAAGCGCAGCACAAGUCGCGAUUCAAGGCUAUACGCCAGCUUCCACAAGCCUUUUUCACUUUUGACCUCGGAUCAGGUAGGGAUACCCGCUGAACUUAAGCAUAUCAAUAAGCGGAGGAA
rnacentral:rRNA from 1 species